UACGAAGGAUCCAAGCGUUAUCCGGAUUUAUUGGGUUUAAAGGGUGCGUAGGCGGCUUUUUAAGUCAGUGGUGAAAGCUCCAUGCUUAACAUGGAAAUUGCCAUUGAUACUGAAGAGCUUGAGUACAUUUGAAGUGGGCGGAAUAUGUCAUGUAGAGGUGAAAUUCUUAGAGAUGACAUAGAACACCGAUUGCGAAGGCAGCUCACUAAACUGUAACUGACGCUGAGGCACGAAAGCGUGGGGAUCAAACAGG
rnacentral:rRNA from 1 species